rnacentral:rRNA from 1 species
AGAGUUUGAUCAUGGCUCAGAUUGAACGCUGGCGGCAGGCCUAACACAUGCAAGUCGAACGGUAACAGAACUAGCUUGCUAGUUGCUGACGAGUGGCGGACGGGUGAGUAAUACUUAGGGAUCUGCCUCUGUGUGGGGGAUAACUAUUGGAAACGAUAGCUAAUACCGCAUAACGUCUACGGACCAAAGAGGGCUUCGGCUCUCGCGCAGAGAGGAACCUAAGCGAGAUUAGCUUGUUGGUGAGGUAAAGGCUCACCAAGGCGACGAUCUCUAGCUGUUCUGAGAGGAAGAUCAGCCACACUGGAACUGAGACACGGUCCAGACUCCUACGGGAGGCAGCAGUGGGGAAUAUUGCACAAUGGGGGCAACCCUGAUGCAGCCAUGCCGCGUGUGUGAAGAAGGCCUUCGGGUUGUAAAGCACUUUCAGUUGUGAGGAAAGGUUAGUAGUUAAUACCUGCUAGCUGUGACGUUAACAACAGAAGAAGCACCGGCUAACUCCGUGCCAGCAGCCGCGGUAAUACGGAGGGUGCGAGCGUUAAUCGGAAUUACUGGGCGUAAAGCGCACGCAGGCGGUCUGUUAAGCUAGAUGUGAAAGCCCCGCGCUCAACGUGGGAGGGUCAUUUAGAACUGGCAGACUAGAGUCUUGGAGAGGGGAGUGGAAUUCCAGGUGUAGCGGUGAAAUGCGUAGAGAUCUGGAGGAACAUCAAUGGCGAAGGCAACUCCCUGGCCAAAGACUGACGCUCAUGUGCGAAAGUGUGGGUAGCGAACAGGAUUAGAUACCCUGGUAGUCCACACCGUAAACGCUGUCUACUAGCUGUUUGUGGAUUUAAUCCGUGAGUAGCGAAGCUAACGCGAUAAGUAGACCGCCUGGGGAGUACGGCCGCAAGGUUAAAACUCAAAUGAAUUGACGGGGGCCCGCACAAGCGGUGGAGCAUGUGGUUUAAUUCGAUGCAAC